rnacentral:rRNA from 1 species
AACGCUAGCUACAGGCUUAACACAUGCAAGUCGAGGGGCAGCAUGAUUGAAGCUUGCUUCAAUUGAUGGCGACCGGCGCACGGGUGAGUAACGCGUAUCCAACCUUCCGUACACUCAGGAAUAGCCUUUCGAAAGAAAGAUUAAUACCUGAUGGUAUGAUGAGAUUGCAUGAAAUCAUCAUUAAAGAUUUAUCGGUAAGCGAUGGGGAUGCGUUCCAUUAGAUAGUAGGCGGGGUAACGGCCCACCUAGUCAACGAUGGAUAGGGGUUCUGAGAGGAAGGUCCCCCACAUUGGAACUGAGACACGGUCCAAACUCCUACGGGAGGCAGCAGUGAGGAAUAUUGGUCAAUGGACGAGAGUCUGAACCAGCCAAGUAGCGUGAAGGAUGAAGGUCCUACGGAUUGUAAACUUCUUUUAUAAGGGAAUAAAACCUCCCACGUGUGGGAGCUUGUAUGUACCUUAUGAAUAAGCAUCGGCUAACUCCGUGCCAGCAGCCGCGGUAAUACGGAGGAUGCGAGCGUUAUCCGGAUUUAUUGGGUUUAAAGGGAGCGCAGACGGGUCGUUAAGUCAGCUGUGAAAGUUUGGGGCUCAACCUUAAAAUUGCAGUUGAUACUGGCGUCCUUGAGUGCGGUUGAGGUGUGCGGAAUUCGUGGUGUAGCGGUGAAAUGCUUAGAUAUCACGAAGAACUCCGAUUG